UACGUAGGGUGCAAGCGUUAAUCGGAAUUACUGGGCGUAAAGCGUGCGCAGGCGGUUAUGUAAGACAGAUGUGAAAUGCCCGGGCUUAACCUGGGAACUGCAUUUGUGACUGCAUGGCUAGAGUUUGGCAGAGGGGGGUAGAAUUCCACGUGUAGCAGUGAAAUGCGUAGAUAUGUGGAGGAACACCGAUGGCGAAGGCAGCCCCCUGGGUCAAGACUGACGCUCAUGCACGAAAGCGUGGGGAGCAAACAGGAUUA
rnacentral:rRNA from 1 species